GUGAGUCAUCGAAUCUUUGAACGCACAUUGCGCCCCUUGGUAUUCCGGGGGGCAUGCCUGUUCGAGCGUCAUUUCAACCCUCACGCGUAGCGUGGUCUUGGGCACUGCCGGCAACGGCUUGCCUUAAAAUCAGUGGCGGUGCCAUCGAGCUCUACGCGUAGUAAUAAACCCCUCGCGUGUGAGUCUCGGCGGUCGCUUGCCAGCAACCCCCAAUUUUUUAUGGUUGACCUCGAAUCAGGUAGGGAUACCCGCUGAACUUAAGCAUAUCAAUAAGCGGAGGA
rnacentral:misc_RNA from 1 species